GAAAAUAGCAUUCAAUGAAUUGGGCGCUCUCAAAAAUAUUGAGGCUUAAGAAAGAGGAUUCUGGGGCUGGCUCACCUGGUAAAGUGCUUACCUUGCAAACGUGAGGACCCAAGUCCUAUCCUCCCAAUCCACAUUAAAAAAAAAAAAAACAUGCAUGUGCAGCUUUUAAUCCUAGUGCUAGAGAAGCAGGGACAAGUGACACCCUGUCUCCUGGUAUGUAGUCUUCCUGUUGAGUUCCAGGCCAGGGAAAAGUACCUGAGAAAAAUACCCAUGGUUGUCCUCUGAUUGCAUAUACUUCUCUCUCUCUCUCUCUCUCUCUCUCUCUCUCUCUCUCUCUCUCUCUCUCUCUCUCUCUCUCACACACACACACACACACACACACACACACACACACACUCACACUCACACACACACACACACACACACACACACACACACACACACACGGACUGGAGAGAGCUGAAAGCUUCAUCCUAAAGUCUCCCAUCCAUAGAUGUUAAAAAGUUUGCCCUCUAAUAUCUAUACUCAGGUGAGAACAAGAAAGAAACACUCAGUGAUUUUACAUAGCAUCCAGGGUAAAACCUGUAUAGAAAAGCCCUGUGUGUCUGGUUAGAUAAGAGGCCACUCAAUUCAUGAUCAGUUUUUCCUACAGGAUAAGGACCAUGCCUCCAACUCUUAGGUCCUAGCGUACAGUGAGAAAGGACACUGGUCACUUAUUUCUCCUCCCCUCUACGGACUCAUUCAUUUUAUACCUCACCCAUGGAGUAACUGCCCUUAAAACCAUAGAAUCCUGGGAAUACAAAACCAGCCUUGGCCCUGCCCAUCUAUAACUUCAUGAUUCCUUUCUGUAGAUGAACUGUAAACACAAAUUUCGUUAUAAUUGUUCAGAGUGCCGUGAAGACUAUAGACAGGCUGCUGGGCUAAUCAUAUCUGGCUGUUAGGAGAUGAGCAAUUUUUUUGUCUAUCACAUAAAUAUAGGCAGCAUGGCAUUUUGAUAAUUUAGGGACAUAGGGAUGUAAGAUGGAAAGAGUAUGUGUUGGACAUUUUCUCAUCACUAUGACAAAUAUGUCAGAGAUACAAUUUGAUAAGAGGAUUUACUUUGGCUCAAAGUUUCAGUUACUGGUCAGCUGACGCCAUUGCUAUGGUCCUGUGGCGGACAUAGAGCCUUGUCAGGAGAGUGUGUUGGAGGAGGUUGCUCACUAUGUUGACGAGACAGGAUGAGAAAGAGAUUGAGAAGCAGGCAUACCCUUUACAGUCACAUCUCAGAUGACCUACUUCUAGCCAGAUGUCACUUCCUAAUUUGUGUUACCUCCCAAACACACCAUCUUAUUAUAAAGUCAUCAAUGGGGGAAUUCAUUGAUUCAGAAAGAAUCUUUGUCAUCAAAUCAUCUCUGGGUGAUUGUAUCUACCAGUUGGGGGCCAAGUCUUUAGCACAUGGUCUUUUGAAUGGGGGUAACACAUAACAUCUAAGCCAUAACAGAACUGAACACUGUCCACUGUGGUCCUUAGUUUGGGGAAUAGUGGCUCAUGUUGAGACUUGAGGUACCAUUGUGACCAUUUCUGGCUCCCUCAGAACCUAGCAAGUUGUCAGGCCCACUGAAGGCACUCAACAUAUAUUUUAUAAGUAAAAGAAGCCAGAUAGUUUCCAAAAGCAGGCCCAGCUUUUGUGGUCACUCUUAUAAAGUUCCCAAGAGCACAGCCUCGUGUUUCCCAACCUAGGGCCUUUUAUUCCAAGUUAUGGGGAUUGUUCCAGCUGGCUUUGGCUUAAGAGACGCUUCCAUGUCCUUCUUCCCCAAGCACAGUUCAUGACUAUACAUCUGCUAAGGACAGUUGACUUCUAGUUGUAUAUGCAGAUGUAUAGGUAUAUAUGUUUAUGUGUAAUCAUGUAUGUGUACAUUUGUAUGUGCACAUGUAUAAGUUUGUGUAUAUGUUUGUUGGUAUUCAUGUGUGUAUGAGUCCAUGUGUUUGUGUGUGUGUGAUGUGUGCAUAUAUUUAUGUAUGAUUGUGUGUGAUAUGUGUGUGUAUUCAUGUGUAAUUUUAUGUAUGUGAAAUAUAUAUGAUGUAUGUGUGUAUGAAGUGUGUGUAAUGUGUGUUGUGAGGUGUGUGGGUAUAUGUGUGAUAUGUGUGUGUGAUUGUAUGUUUGUGUAUGAGCAAGUGUGUGAAGUGUAUGUAUGUGUGUGACGUGUGUAUAUGAAUGUGUACGAUGUGUUUGUGAAGUAUAAGUGAGUGCGAUAUGUGUGUGAUUGUAUGUGAGUGAAGGAUGUGUACGAGUGUGUAUGAGUAUGUGUGGAUGUAUGAGAUAUGUGUAUGAGCAUGUGUGAUGUGGUGAUGUGUAUACAUGUGUGUGAGCUUGUGUGUGUGUGUGUGUGUGUGUGUUUCAAUGCUCUAAUAAUUACACUUGCUUUGCAAAGCCCAGAUGGAAGCUUUUAUUGAUAUUUCCUCUUUUUUGUCUUGUCUCAAACCCUAUUGGUGUCUCUGACUUAAUCAUUGGGGUCUGCAAUACUAUAUGUGUCCACCCCCCACCCCCCACCCCCAUAGAAUUGCCUCAGUGAUGGGACAUGGAGAGAGUAAAUCUGAUGGAUCUAAAGCCGUGGUGUUGUACGGGAGCCCUCCAGCGAGUAUCUGCACUCAGCUCGCCACAUCUGUCCAUCGGAUCAACAAAAGCCAACCUGAUGUGAUGGAGUGUAAAAGGAAGGGAUACAGAGUUAAACAUGGCCCCGUCAGCAGCUUUCAUUUCUGACUGUCCCCUGGAUUCUUAAAAGAAAUCAUGUUUAACAUCUUAAUUAGGGACUGGUAGUAUCCAGCAGUUCCUUUUCUUGCUUGUUUUCUCUCCUUCUUUUUCCCCCUCCUUAUGAGCAUCUUGUAAUUUACUCUUGAAGUAAAUUAUAGUCAAUUUAUCUGCAGAAACAAGUCAAUAAAACAGGGGAAGUCUCCAGCUUUUCAGCCUCUGGCUUUUCAAUUUCUCGGUGAUUGUUUCCUGCUUUUUCUACUGAAUGGGAGACUGAGCCACAGGUACAUGAGUUGGGAGGCGCUGGGUGGCUGCUGUGACUUUGCUCUCUAUCCCUUGGAGACUUCGCUGCAAGAUUGUUUUGACUUGCCAGCUGUUCUGAGUUUAGAAUUUGAACAGAGCAGCACAUUGUUGUGAAGAAGAAACCAGGGCCUUCUGGAUCUUGUGAUGUGGAUGGCCAGUGUAACGCAAGUGGUAAAACAAAUUGCUGUCUGCUUUCAAUAGUGGCUCUCGUAAUGAGGGUGUCUGGUGUGUGUGUGUGUGUGUGUGUGUGUGUGUGUGUGUGUGUGUACAUGAGCCAUUCAUGAGCCCAAAUCCAGGGCCCUCCUCAAGUUGGGUUCAUGGUGGUGCUCACUGAGUUAAUAGCUCAGCCCACUCAAACCACAGUCAAGGACUUCGGGUUCGACACUUGUGUCAGAGUUACACUGUGGUUUCAGGGAUGGCAAUUAGAGUCAGCUUCCCCCCAAAACAAACAUACAGGGAGUAUGGAGCUAGCCUGGAUGGCUGGAGAGGGGACUCUGUGGGGUUUUGUUGGUUCAGGAAAGAAGUACAUGUGCCUAGUCAGACAAGGUUAGUAAACAAACCCUGGGCUUAAGCUCCUUCACUUCCAAGGGAGAAAGCAGGGAAAUCAGCCAGUGGCCAUCUCUAGACUUUCAGAAGCCUUCCAGAAUCAGGAGUCCUAGAACAUAUAUGAAAGUCAUGCAGGAGGUGGCUGUGACCCUUUCAUAAAGAUCCUCAUGUUGUAGUGACCCCCUAAGCAUAAAAUUAUUUUUGUGGCUACUUUGCAACUGUUAAUUUUGCUACUGUUAUGAAUUGUCAUGUAACUAUUAGAUAUGCAGAGCCCAAUGGGCUCUUAACCCACAGGUUAAAAACUACUGCUCUAGACUCUUGAAUUCAACCUUUGAUACUAAGUUGCAUAGGGGAGCAUCUAUGUCACUGAGACAGUAGCCUAGGCACCAAGGACUGUGUCCUUACCUUUAACUAAAACUCCAACUUGCUAUGUUUCUUUAAGAAAGUAAAAACCAUCUUCACAGCUCACUUCCUUUUGUUCUUUGCUUUUAUGUAUUUAUUUAUUUAUUUAUUUAUUUAUUUACUUAUUUAGACAUUUUCUUGUUUUUGAGACACUGUGAAGCUUCACCAUGAAGCUCAGGCUGGCCUUGAACUCUAGAUCCUCCUGCCUUCGCCUCUUCAAUGCUGGGAUUGCAUGGAUAUGUCACCAUAGCCUGCUUUCUCUCUUUAUGUGAUAAUCUUGCCCAGAGUUUGGUCCACAGUUUCUAUUUCAUUUUAAUUUUAGCCCAAAUAAGAACUGAACUUGUGUCAUAUUAAAUUGACGUAGUAACCAAAGGAAAAGACUGCCCACUAUGACCAAAGAGUAGGUCCAUCAGCCAACUUCCUUCCUUCUUUCCUUCCCUCCUUUCCCCUUUCCUCCUUCCAUCUCUGUCUUUCUUCCUGGUUUCACUCAGGUAUAAAGGGACACAAUUCCCUUUCUUGUCCUUUCUGGGUCUUUCUGACAUUCAUUGUGAAAAUGAAAAAGACCAUAAGAGACCAGAACAACCAGGUCUACAACACUGGCCUGCACACAGUAAUUCACCUCCUGCUGGCUUGCCCAACAUGAUGCUCAGAUGCCAAGAUUGGUCCCUCAUUCUGAUACACAGAGGUAGAAGAGAGGGUCCAAUAUAUUCCCCUGAGUUACUCUCCUCACAUCAUCAGACACACCCUGCCUUUCUUAAGCAUCCAUCAGGCCUCAUCUUAAAGCUUACAUUCGUGUACUCCCUAAAUUAGCUUCUGGCUUUCAAAGGUUUGGCCCCCACAGUAUCGGUGCAUCUCCUCACUAACACUCAUCCCCUGGGCAUGAACCUGGUUUUCUCUUCUGCACCCUCACUUUCCCACAGCCCUGGGCAUACACGAGGCCUUUAAUGCCAGCUAGUUGAACAAAUGAGAAAUUACACAUGACCCCUGAGCUUGCAUUAAUAAUUCAGAUUACUGGGAGAUGGCUAUGCUCUGCUGUAAUGCAGAGUACCUUCAUUAAUCUGCACAUCCCCCAAGAUUUGGUCACUGGUGUAAUCUCUCAGAAGCUUGAACAUGCCCAAAGCAAUAUAAAUAGCAAGUGGUAGAACUUGAAUACAAACUGUGGGAUAUGGCAAAGCUCCUAUGACCAAAACAGCGUCGUCUUUUGGGCUCACCCUGUUGAUCCAUCCAUCUCUUCUUGUUCACAUUCAGGGCAGUUUCCACUCCCCGUAUGCACCUGGGAGCCUGGAAAAUUCUGUGACAAGAUUGUUGGCAGAGAGAAGCUCAUUUUCUCUCCCUUCUCUCCCCAAACUGCUGAUCUUGGCCAUUCUUUAAUUUUUCUCCUCCAAAAAUGGAAACUUUGGGAAAUUACCUUGGCAGAAAAGUUUUGCUUCACUCUUCUAUAGCAGCCCAAGUGUUGAUAGAGCUGGCAGCAGCCAUGGAAUUGAACUGAAGGCAAAGGAAGAGUGACAUUAGCUGAGGGUUGGCCAAAAAUCACUUGUAUGUGUAAGGAUGGCAGAGAACCCGCAGCGGAAAACCCUUCGUAUUUGAUGCUCGCCAAGCACAUUCUGUGUGUCUAGCACCCUGCUGGGUUCUUCCUGUAGGCUGAAUCCUAUGUUUGUUGUUAGCUAUUCUCAAAAAGAUAAGCAGAGAGCUAAUCUAAAGUGACAAAGUUCUAUAACUAAAACAACCAGGGUACCCACCAUACUUGACUUUGGAAGAUGAAUAAAUAACAUCUUAGAAGCUUGUUCAAGUAUCUACUUCUCACUUCAACUUCACCUCCUAAUUUGUCCUCUUAUGUGGUUGAAUUGACCACAGAAUGCCACCAACUAGGUCCUAGGCUUCAUUUUUUUUUAAAGACUGAGUUCACUUUCUAUAUUAGAAUCCAUAUCUAAAGGCUACUGUUUUGAGUGUGGGCAAAGGUAGCUUUUGAAAAUGGAGAGCAGAAGAUCCAAAUCAACAUGCUGAAGUAGACCAUGGCCAACCUUCAGGAGCUGCUUUGAGGAAGGAGCUUGAACUAAGUGGUAAAGGCUGCAUAGGAAUCAUAAAGGUACUCCCCGAAUAUAUGUGGGUGUUCCAAAAAAGAUGCAGUGCUAUGAUGAAAUCAAUAUGACGCUGAUCUGAUGGCCAGAUGGUACAACAUGCUUGGAGACAGUGGUGUGCUGAAGUCAGCUUGUACUGGUUUGCAUAAUCUGAUUGCCAAGUUUUUAGGGAUUUUGCAAGCAAAUCAUUAAACAGCCAGUGUUUAAAGUGAACGCAUAUAGAAUUGCGUAUAAAUAUGUUGUAUAAAAAUGUAGUAAAGAGGUCUGUCUACAGAGAUGGUUCAGUCAGUAGAGUGCUUGCCAUUCAAGCACAAGGGCCUUAAUUUUAUCCCAAGAAGCCACAUAAAAAAUAACCAGGAUUUUGAUUGCAGUGCUGGGCAGACCAGAAGCUCCCUGGUGCUUUUUGUCCAGCUGGGCUAGCUGAACCAUGAGUUCCAGAGUGACAAGACACCUUGUCUUUGAAGCAAGGUGGAUAGCUUCAUGAAAAUGACACCCAAAGUGGUCUCCUGCCUCCACACCCAAUGGCACACCCUCAGGAACAUGCAAUGUGUGUACAGAUGCACAUGCAAAAGGUGACUAACAACAACAUCAUUGCUUCCUAAUUAUCCUGCUAACUUUUGCUAAACAUCUCCUUGUGAUUAUUCAUAUGUACAUGUCUGUGAAUAGGCGUAAUUCACAUUGAUCUGGUAUUGCCAUUUCUUUACAAUUCUUCAAUUGCAUCAUUAGUAGGUUGAAAUCAGUCCUAGGGAGAAUAUUUACACCACUGAAAAUGGCAAACACUAACGGUAAGGAUGUUUAUUCUCUUAGGAAGGAUGCUUGUUAAGCACUUAACAGGGUACCAUCCCUGAGGGGUAAGAAGGAACUAGACACAAAAGAUACUAAAUGCACUUUAGAGAGUCCAGAGUAUAGCUCUAGGGAACUGGCUAUCAUAACAGUUCCUGAGAAAAGAAAAACCCGAGGGGAGCACCAGUUUCUAGCCCUUUCCUGGUGUAUUCUCAGACAUUAUAGGUUACAGGACAGUUAAAGCAAGGAGCAUGGGAACCCAUUCAGGAUGAUGUGUUACCGUCCGACCAGUGCCACCAGCUCUAAGAUGUACUGGCCAGUUGUUUGUUUUCAGAGGAAGCCUCAAGACAGAGCAUCAGAAGGAGGAAGGCACAGGGAAGGGAGUUUUUCAGUCAUCUCUGCUUGCUCAAAAUCCUUCCCAGCCUUGAUUAACCCAUCCAUACUUCUAGGUGUAGUUUCUAGGGAGCCGGAACUCUGUUGGCCCUGCUGUACUUCCUUAGAACCAGACACGUGGAGAAGAAUCCCCAACUCUCAUGACAAAGUUAUGAAGGAGCUGGCCCACUAUGGGUGGCACCAUUCUUAGGCAGGAAGUGGCUCUGAACUGUAUAAGAAAGCUAGCUAAGCAUAAGCCAGGAAGGGAGC
rnacentral:lncRNA from 1 species